ACCGAGCUGAAGAUUCCCGAAUAGGACGAAACGCGCGUUCUGGAU
rnacentral:hammerhead_ribozyme from 1 species